rnacentral:rRNA from 1 species
GAACGCGCAGCAUUCUGUAGCAAUACAGGGUGUGGGCGCGUGGCGAACGGGUGCGUAACACGUGGAUAACCUUCCUUCAGGUGGGGAAUAACCCCGCGAAAGCGGGGCUAAUACCGCAUAACAUCGCGAUGGCACAUGCUGUUGCGUUCAAAGGCGCAAGUCGCCAGAAGAGGGAUCCGCGGCCGAUUAGCUUGUUGGCGGGGUAACGGCCCACCAAGGCUUUGAUCGGUAGCCGGACUGAGAGGUUGGCCGGCCACACUGGAACUGAGACACGGUCCAGACUCCUACGGGAGGCAGCAGUGGGGAAUCUUGCACAAUGGACGAAAGUAUGAUGCAGCAACGCCGCGUGGGGGAUGAAGCUUACUCGGAGUGUAAACCCCUUUCGACCCGGACGAAUGCCCGCAAGGGCUUGACGGUACGGGUAUAAGAAGCCCCGGCUAACUACGUG